GGGCCUGUAGCUCAGCUGGUUAGAGCAGAGGACUCAUAAUCCUUUGGUCCCAGGUUCAAAUCCUGGUGGGCCCACCA
rnacentral:tRNA from 1 species